GAUGAAGAACGUAGCGAAAUGCGAUAAGUAAUGUGAAUUGCAGAAUUCAGUGAAUCAUCGAAUCUUUGAACGCACAUUGCGCCCGCCAGUAUUCUGGCGGGCAUGCCUGUCUGAGCGUCAUUUCAACCCUCAGCCCCCGCUCGCGGGGCGCUGGCGUUGGGGAUCGGCCGUCCUCGCGGCGGCCGGCCCCGAAACACAGUGGCGGUCUCUCGCGGACUCCCCUGCGUAGUAGCACUACCUCGCAGAAGGGACGAGCGGGCUGACCACGCCGUAAAACCCCCCACUUCUCCAGGUUGACCUCAGAUCAGGUAGGAAUACUCGCUGAACUUAAGCAUAUCAAUAAGCGGAGGA
rnacentral:misc_RNA from 1 species